UACGGAGGGGGCGAGCGUUAUUCGGAAUUAUUGGGCGUAAAGGGCGCGUAGGCGGCUUGACAAGUCAAAGGUGAAAUCCCUCGGCUCAACUGAGGAACUGCCUUUGAAACUGUCAGGCUUGGGACGGCGGAGGGGGUAGCGGAAUUCCCAGUGUAGCGGUGAAAUGCGUAGAUAUUGGGAGGAACACCAGUGGCGAAGGCGGCUACCUGGACCGGUACUGACGCUGAUGCGCGAAAGCCAGGGGAGCAAACGGG
rnacentral:rRNA from 1 species